GGCCCUAUCGUCUAGUGGUCUAGGACGCCGCCCUUUCACGGCGGAAACACGGGUUCGAGUCCCGUUGGGGCUG
rnacentral:tRNA from 2 species